AACGAUUUCUUGGCCCUGAGGUUUGUUCUACCUUUUCUUCUUGCCAUAGCCUUAAAUAUUUGAUUGAAUGACUGCCCAGAACUUUCUCCAAAUUUAAUCAAGUUUGGUCUUGAUUAUUAUUAUUAAUAAAUAUUUGGUUGAUGCAAAUACCAUGUUCUCCUCCCUCUUGAGCAAUUCCAGCUGGAGUUGCUUGUGAAGCCUCUAUAACCAUGGGAACUAAUCAACUUGUGAAAAUUCCUGCAUGUUAAUAUGAAUCUCUUUAUUACAUGGCACCAUAGAAGCAUUUUUGUUCUGCAUUCAUCCCAUUUAGGUGAUUUGUGAGAUUUUCUAUUCAUUCAUUUGCAUGCCCAGAAAAGUUGUUUUUCCUUGUAAUCACUAUUGUGCUAG
rnacentral:misc_RNA from 1 species